rnacentral:rRNA from 1 species
AGUGAACGCUGGCGGUAGGCCUAACACAUGCAAGUCGAACGGCAGCACAGUAAGAGCUUGCUCUUACGGGUGGCGAGUGGCGGACGGGUGAGGAAUACAUCGGAAUCUACUUUUUCGUGGGGGAUAACGUAGGGAAACUUACGCUAAUACCGCAUACGACCUACGGGUGAAAGCAGGGGAUCUUCUGACCUUGCGCGAAUGAAUGAGCCGAUGUCGGAUUAGCUAGUUGGCGGGGUAAAGGCCCACCAAGGCGACGAUCCGUAGCUGGUCUGAGAGGAUGAUCAGCCACACUGGAACUGAGACACGGUCCAGACUCCUACGGGAGGCAGCAGUGGGGAAUAUUGGACAAUGGGCGCAAGCCUGAUCCAGCCAUACCGCGUGGGUGAAGAAGGCCUUCGGGUUGUAAAGCCCUUUUGUUGGGAAAGAAAAGCAGCAGGUUAAUACCCCGCUGUUCUGACGGUACCCAAAGAAUAAGCACCGGCUAACUUCGUG